rnacentral:snRNA from 2 species
AUACCUUUCUCCGUCUUUUGGCUAAGAAAGAUCUAGUAUAGCAUUUGUUCUUAUCAAUUUAAUAUUUGAUAUGUAAGUCAUGAGCCCACAAUAAUACUAAAUUUAUUUUUUGUGAGAGAGGGUCCACCAGGCCCUUGCGUGUCACCCGGGUGUUGCACUGCUGCCUGGAUCUGGCACACCCCAA